UACAGAGGUCCCGAGCGUUGUUCGGAUUCACUGGGCGUAAAGGGUGCGUAGGUGGUGGGGUAAGUCUCGUGUGAAAGCUCGCAGCUUAACUGCGAAAAGUCACGGGAUACUAUUCUGCUGGAGGCUUGGAGGGGGGACUGGAAUACUUGGUGUAGCAGUGAAAUGCGUAGAUAUCAAGUGGAACACCAGUGGCGAAGGCGGCUAACUGGUCCGGAUCUGACGCUGAGGUGCGAAAGCGUGGGGAGCAAACAGG
rnacentral:rRNA from 1 species